UACGAAGGGGGCUAGCGUUGUUCGGAAUCACUGGGCGUAAAGCGCACGUAGGCGGAUCUUUAAGUCAGGGGUGAAAUCCCGAGGCUCAACCUCGGAACUGCCUUUGAUACUGGCGACCUUCGAGUCCGGGAGAGGUGAGUGGAACUCCGAGUGUAGAGGUGAAAUUCGUAGAUAUUCGGAAGAACACCAGUGGCGAAGGCGGCUCACUGGCCCGGUACUGACGCUGAGAUACGAAAGCGUGGGGAGCAAACAGG
rnacentral:rRNA from 1 species